AGCCAUUAGAUGAUAUUACAUGGUUUUACCUGCCCAAUGUUAUAUAUGAAUGGCCGCGGUACUCUGACCGUGCUAAGGUAGCGUAAUCAGUUGACCUUUAAAUGAGGUCAGGAAUGAAUGGAAUAACCGGGUUUAGCUGUCUCUGUGUCACUAUAUUGAAUUUACUAUCUAAGUGAAAAAGCUUAGGGUUAAAAAAGGGAGGAGAAGACCCUUAGAAUUUUUUUUAAAAGAAAAUAAAAUUUUCUUACAAUUUUAUUGGGGCGAUAAAGAAAUAAUUAAAACUUUCUUUUAUUACAAGCCGAUUAUAUUAAGUGAGAAUAAAUUACCUGAGGGAUAACAGCAUAAUUCUAUAAAUGAGUUUGUGACCUCGAUGUUGGACUAGGAAACUAGCAGGCUAGCCGUUUGCUGUGUUAGGUUCUGUUCGAACUUUUAUUCCU
rnacentral:rRNA from 1 species